GGCCAUGACAGGUGAAGCAUCACAUAUACCAGGUACGAUUUGCCACUGCCUGAAUUCACCUCUAAACCCUCUAGAUAUGCUUCCACUUCCCAUUCCUCCAAGUGGAACGCCCUGAGAUGCUGAUGGCUUGCAACUUUCCCGGGUGAAGGGAUCUAUAGGUGCUUUCCUUCCAUGAGAUGCCUCUUCCCUGACAUAAGACCACAGUCUUAUUCCCAAUCGAACCAUUUUUACUGCUUCCUUAAAUGUAACACUGAAUUCUUUGAGAAUAUUGGCAUGGCUGUUUAAUCUCCUUCUCCAGGCCUGCUCUGGAGGGGCAGCACUAUCAAAAUCCAAUAAUUGCAAGGUGGCUCUGCUGAUAUACUCC
rnacentral:misc_RNA from 1 species